rnacentral:rRNA from 1 species
GACGGAGGGGGCAAGCGUUGUCCGGACUCACUGGGCGUAAAGGGCGCGUAGGUGGUCUCGUGCGUCGGUGCUGAAAGCGCCGGGCUUAACCCGGCGAGGCGUGCCGAUACGACGAGACUCGAGGCAGAGAGAGGGUAGCGGAAUUCCGGGUGUAGUGGUGAAAUGCGUAGAGAUCCGGAGGAACGCCAGAGACGAAGGUGGCUACCUGGCUCUGACCUGACACUGAGGCGCGAAAGCGUGGGGAGCGAACAGG